AAAAGGGUCCGAAUGAAACCCUGCAGCCAUGGUUGUCCUCCAGGACCGGAGUUGGAGACCCCCGACUUAAAGCAUUUAUAAGGAGAAACUCAAGCAGCGGUGCAAAGGCAAAUACACAAAAUUCUGCGCCUGCACCUCUCCGUGCAUUAUCACUUGUAAGAAAAAGAAAAAAAAACUCUCGACGGACUCCAGGAAGACAGGGGAAUUGCCCCGUUUAAUAUCCGCUGGACAGAAACCCAAGAUCGAAAACAAAAAAAAAAAAGCAUCUGACAAAAGAAAAGACCUUCAGGUGGGGUAUUCAUACAAGAUGGAGGCAGGAAACGAGAACAAAACAAAAUGGCCGGACGUGACGUCAUCUCGGUUGGUUGCCGGAAUUGACUUCACCAAUGGAACGUGAAGGUUGGGAUGUGGUUUGAGAAAGUAGAAUUGUUGGUGGUGAGUUAUUAUUUGUCUUCCUCAGUUCUGUUAAUGAAGAGAGAGAGACCUUAGUACCAGCAAAUCAACCCUUCGUCUCUUGUGGUGUCAGUCAUCUUGGGGCUUGUUGGUUGCUUCCUAAACACACGUGUGUGACACCCUGCAAUGUCACGGGAUCGGGACUCUGUCCUGACAGAUCCAGCAUCACGUCAUGGCGAUUCAGCAGCCAAUAGUCCUGUGGUUCCUUCUUAGUAGUCAUCUUGGCCUUUUUCACAUCACUCACUAACUUCUGAGUCUCGGAGACCUCGACCAUCAAGCUGCCUCCCCCUAAUGGCCAUGCCACAGCUGUGUCAGCCAAUCCGAUGAAAGGACCCCUCUACCCCACGAUUCCUGCGAUC